UUCUAUGCCUAGCUUCCAAAUCAGCUCAAAAUCUGUAUUGGUGGUACAGUGGUGAACAGAACUCUCUCCAAACCAGUCCAUGCCACAACCCUCAGUGUAAAUUUGAUUCACUUUGGGAACAAAGUGUCUAUCACAGAUGCUUUUCUUUUUUAAAUGGUAGGGUCUUGAUACUGCAGCUCAGGCUGAACUUGAACUCUUCAUCCUUCCACCCCGCCUUCUGAGUGCUGAGAUCACAGGCAAAAGUGCAGGGAACACCCAGUUUAACGAGGCUCUCGAGCCAUAGGGCCCUCUAGUCCAUCUCAGACCCCUGCUCAGCACUACUCUCCACAUCUGGAAUCCCAGGCCUCGGAUUAUCAUCCCGCCCCAGGUUUAAUUGGGUCCUGUGAGUGGAGCCCUGAGCAUCCUCACCUGAUGAAUCAGAUAUGUGAUCUGGUGUUUCCUCCGCUGCUGGCCAGUUGGCUGCUCACCUUUCUUCUACAAGGGAAAACAAAAACAAACCAAAACACAGUCCUUAAUCCACAGAUGGAAAGACAUAAAUUUCUCAUGUGCCAGGACUUAAGGCUGGUGAACCGAGACGCUAAACAUACAGCCUAAAUCUCUGGGGAGAAAAGUCAACUUGGAGCUAUUUCUGUGUCUACAUACUUUACAAAGCAGACAUUUUAUUAGCGCCAUUAUGAAAAACAAAUCUAAGCUGGGAAUACUUGGUAGAAAUAGCCUGUUACUUCCCCAAUUAGGGCUACACUCUGAGGUCAGGACUGGGAUUGCUUAUCUCCUUGAUAACCCUACUCUAUCUCUAGCCCAAGCCCGAGGCUCUGCCUGUGGCCGGACACUGGCCUGUAGUGAGUCGAGGACAGCUUUCAUGCCAUGGAUAUGUGAUCUGCUGACCUCCUCUAGACCUCCUUACUAUCCCUCCAUCCAUCUGCCCCUUAAACCCACUUCAUUUCUGUGCCCUUCUCCCCACUCUGGCCAGAUGUCUAGUCUGACUCCUACCUACCACUUACCAAGCCCUCCCAUCCAUCACCUUUGGCUGAAACUCUACUGUCCUGUCCCAGGACAUGUCAACCACUUCCCUGGGAUUACAAAGUUCACAAUCUCACUCUUCCUCAAUUCAUCUUCCAGCCUCCACCAGUGACUACAUCUAACUCCAAACCACACUUUGAUGCAAACGAUUUACUGUCAAAAUCUAUACUGCUCUGAGCUUUCACUGUGUGGUUUUUCUGUCCUCUGCCAGAGCUGUCUCGGGCUAGAAGCUUUCCUCGCCAGCCCCACCCAACUCUCAAAACUCCUCCCCAGAGUCUCCUCAGCACUUAUGUAAUCAAUUUGCACUGUAAUCAUUUACACUCAAGUGUCCUUAAAUCUCUUCCCAACCAUGCUGUCAACUUCUUGGGGAUAGGGGACUGUAUCUUUUCUUCUCUUCUGAAAAGCAAGCUCAACAAAAUGAAAUGGGACAAAAACCUGGAGCUGGGAAAAGACCAGAUGCUAAUUGCUUGUUGCUACUGAAUGUCAUUAAAUGUUACAAUUAAAGAAGAUAUACAUAAAACAUCCUCUCCAUUCCGCAGUGAGCACUCAUACCAGCAGCUACUUGUGUGACGGGGCCUCUCAAGUCUAAGUUAGCAGAGCCCUUUCUCCUAAGUGGUUUUUCCAGUAAACAGUGAUAGAUCUAAGCUGCUCUAACCACAAUCCUUUGCUCUAUCCUGUAUGACCGCCAACAUUCAGUUAAAAUAAAUGAUGGGGGCCUGGAUGGCCAUCUGUGACCAUAGAACAAAGAAAAAUCAAAGUGGGGGGUGUAAAAAUCCUUGACCGUGGUGUUGCUGGCAUGAAGCUCAUAUUCAGCCACCCCCACCCAUGGCCAGCUCCUAAGUGUCCACACUCGCUGUGCCUAGUUGCUAAGUAAAGACACAUUCACCAUACUGACUAAAGAAAAUAAGCACAGGGAGGUCGGUGGGGUGGGAAACAGGAAGAAGAGCAUUCAGAGACAGCAGCUGGCUACAAUGAACUAUGGAGACAGUGGCAAGAGAAGAGCAGUAUGCCUGGCACCCAGGGCCUAGAGCCUCUGAAGAUCUGCUGUGCCCGCUCCCCAAAGGCUGAGCCAGCUCCCAGAGUAAGAGCUGGAGACUGAUGUGAUUACAGGGAGAGCAGCUGUAGACUCUGACCAGUGGGGAGAACCACACACACCAGAGACCUUCACGGAAGCUGUGAAAAUUCUAUCAAGUUCUGAAAGGCAGUUUUCCCAUGAAGCUUGUAUACUCCACUACCUUGGGCAACAAUAUCUGUUAGAGGUGUGUCAGUAACAACAGGUCAGAUGGGGAGCAGGCCGCCACCCAAAGGGUCCCCCACACUUACUUUGCUGAAGGACUUCAUGGUCUUCUCUUCUGUCAACGACUUGGUCAUCCACUGCUGAGCUCCACUGAGCUGGUCAUCACCUUUGAUCUCCACAAAGUUGAUCUCCUCCCUCCCGCGAUUCCUCUUGCCCUGCAGCCGCUUAAACUGAAAGUAAAUAAAUAAACAAAAGCAGAA